rnacentral:rRNA from 1 species
UUAUACCGCGAAACUGCGAAUGGCUCAUUAUAUAAGUUAUCGUUUAUUUGAUAGUACCUUACUACUUGGAUAACCGUGGUAAUUCUAGAGCUAAUACAUGCUAAAAACCUCGACUUCGGAAGGGGUGUAUUUAUUAGAUUAAAAACCAAUGCCCUUCGGGGCUCUCUGGUGAUUCAUGAUAACUUCUCGAAUCGCACGGCCUUGCGCCGGCGAUGGUUCAUUCAAAUUUCUUCCCUAUCAACUUUCGAUGUUUGGGUCUUGGCCAAACAUGGUUGCAACGGGUAACGGAGGGUUAGGGCUCGACCCCGGAGAAGGAGCCUGAGAAACGGCUACUACAUCCAAGGAAGGCAGCAGGCGCGCAAAUUACCCAAUCCCGACUCGGGGAGGUAGUGACAAUAAAUACUGAUGCAGGGCUCUUUUGGGUCUUGCAAUUGGAAUGAGUACAAUUUAAAUCCCUUAACGAGGAACAAUUGGAGGGCAAGUCUGGUGCCAGCAGCCGCGGUAAUUCCAGCUCCAAUAGCGUAUAUUAAAGUUGUUGUGGUUAAAAAGCUCGUAGUUGAACCUUGGGCCUGGCUGGCCGGUCCGCCUCACCGCGUGUACUGGUCCGGCCGGGCCUUUCCCUCUGUGGAACCCCAUGCCCUUCACUGGGCGUGGCGGGGAAACAGGACUUUUACUUUGAAAAAAUUAGAGUGCUCCAGGCAGGCCUAUGCUCGAAUACAUUAGCAUGGAAUAAUAAAAUAGGACGUGUGGUUCUAUUUUGUUGGUUUCUAGGACCGCCGUAAUGAUUAAUAGGGACAGUCGGGGGCAUCAGUAUUCAAUUGUCAGAGGUGAAAUUCUUGGAUUUAUUGAAGACUAACUACUGCGAAAGCAUUUGCCAAGGAUGUUUUCAUUAAUCAGGAACGAAAGUUAGGGGAUCGAAGACGAUCAGAUACCGUCGUAGUCUUAACCAUAAACUAUGCCGACUAGGGAUCGGACGAUGUUAUUUUUUGACUCGUUCGGCACCUUACGAGAAAUCAAAG